AUUUCACUUAAUCCUCACUGUAUUCCUGUCGCAUUUUGCAGAAGAGAACCAGGCUGAGAGAAGUUAAGUGACGUGCCCAAGGAUACACAGCUCUCUGCAUGUGACACGCUGACUCCCCUUCUGCCAUGAUUGUAAGUUUCGUCACUAGAAGCAGAUGCCGACACUAUGCUUCAUGUACAGCCUGCAGAACUGUGAGCCAAGAACUAUGUACUGAAGAUUUGGGGGCAAAAGAGGACCACAUCUGCAACUAACUGGAGAUGGUUCAGAAGAUGAUGCACACACACUCAAGCAUAUCGAGAGAGAAAGGGGCAGAGGACACAGAAGGCCCUGAGUUUAAUGUGCAUGUUUUGGGGAAUUUGGAAGAAGAGCCCCUGAUAAUUCAUCCUUCAUUAUUCUUGCAACUUUUCUCUAAAUCUGAAAUUAUAUUAAA
rnacentral:lncRNA from 1 species